UACGUAGGUGGCAAGCGUUGUCCGGAUUUACUGGGCGUAAAGAGCGCGCAGGCGGUCGUUCAAGUCGCGUUGUGAAAGCCCCCGGCUCAACUGGGGAGGGUCACGCGAUACUGAUCGACUCGAAGGCAGGAGAGGGAAGUGGAAUUCCCGGUGUAGUGGUGAAAUGCGUAGAUAUCGGGAGGAACACCAGUGGCGAAGGCGACUCACGCCUGUUCUUGACGCUGGACGGCGCGAAAGCUGGGAGGCAAACCGG
rnacentral:rRNA from 1 species